rnacentral:rRNA from 1 species
UUGAGACCGGCGCACGGGUGCGUAACGCGUAUGCAACUUGCCCUAUUCACGAGGAUAGCCCGGGGAAACCCGGAUUAAUACUGGAUAAUAAUAUUUAGGCAUCUGAGUAUUUUGAAAAAUUAUUGGAAUAGGAUAGGCAUGCGUCCCAUUAGCUAGUUGGUUAGGUAACGGCUAACCAAGGCGAUGAUGGGUAGGGGUCCUGAGAGGGAGAACCCCCACACUGGUACUGAGACACGGACCAG